GCUUCGAGUGGAUGAUUUGUAAAGGCCAGACGACUUGUGUGGCUGCUCGACAUCAGUGAGAGUUUUGUACAAUGCCUACCAGUAAUGGAGUUCAUUGACCCAUGAUAAGGUGAUGAGUUCUGAACUUAAUCAAUGUAAUCUAAAGGUUAGAUCUAAUUUAGGGCAUCGAUAUGAUUGAUGCAGUUUUAUUUUUAUAUCAGAUUUUAUAUACAAAAUUUUUAUAUCA
rnacentral:lncRNA from 1 species